UAUGCUUACCAUGCAACAAAACCUUUAUUAACGUUUUUAACAGAGGUUCAGCUAUUAUUGUACUUGUAAUUUCUAAACUUAAAUCGGGGCAAAUGGCUAGAGUGCAGAGUAAUGCCAUCACUCCCCACUGGGAAUGCAGACUGAAUAAUUAAUAGCCACCCCUCAGACAGAGGACCCGGUACAGGCUUAACUCUGGAUGUUGUAAUCAGAGAGAGUGC
rnacentral:misc_RNA from 1 species